rnacentral:rRNA from 1 species
GUGAGGAAUAUUGGUCAAUGGGCGAGAGCCUGAACCAGCCAAGUAGCGUGAGGGAAGACUGCCCUAUGGGUUGUAAACCUCUUUUGAUUGGGAACAAAGAGCGCCACGUGUGGUGCGUUGCGUGUACCUUUCGAAUAAGCAUCGGCUAAUUCCGUGCCAGCAGCCGCGGUAAUACGGAAGAUGCGAGCGUUAUCCGGAUUUAUUGGGUUUAAAGGGAGCGUAGGCGGGCUGUUAAGUCAGCGGUCAAAUGUCAGGGCCCAACCUUGGCAUGCCGUUGAUACUGGCGGCCUUGAGUUCACACAAGGAAGGUGGAAUUCGUCGUGUAGCGGUGAAAUGCUUAGAUAUGACGAAGAACUCCGAUUGCGAAGGCAGCCUUCUGGGGUGUUACUGACGCUGAGGCUCGAAAGUGCGGGAAUCAAACAGGAUUAGAAACCCUAGUAGUCC